rnacentral:tRNA from 1 species
GCGGGAUGGACUGGAGCGGCUCCAGCACGGCCCCAUAAGCCGACCACGCCGGUUCGAAUCCGGCUCCCGCG